rnacentral:rRNA from 1 species
UACGGGGGGGGCAAGCGUUGUUCGGAAUUACUGGGCGUAAAGGGCUCGUAGGUGGCCAACUAAGUCAGACGUGAAAUCCCUCGGCUUAACCGGGGAACUGCGUCUGAUACUGGAUGGCUUGAGUUCGGGAGAGGGAUGCGGAAUUCCAGGUGUAGCGGUGAAAUGCGUAGAUAUCUGGAGGAACACCGGUGGCGAAGGCGGCAUCCUGGACCGACACUGACACUGAGGAGCGAAAGCGUGGGGAGCAAACGGG